CGCUGGCGGCAUGCCUAACACAUGCAAGUCGAACGAGACCUUCGGGGUCUAGUGGCGCACGGGUGCGUAACGCGUGGGAACCUGCCUUUAGGUUCGGAAUAACUCAGAGAAAUUUGAGCUAAUACCGGAUAAUGUCUUCGGACCAAAGAUUUAUCGCCUUUAGAUGGGCCCGCGUAAGAUUAGCUAGUUGGUGGGGUAAAGGCCUACCAAGGCGACGAUCUUUAGCUGGUCUGAGAGGAUGAUCAGCCACACUGGGACUGAGACACGGCCCAGACUCCUACGGGAGGCAGCAGUGGGGAAUAUUGGACAAUGGGCGAAAGCCUGAUCCAGCAAUGCCGCGUGAGUGAUGAAGGCCUUAGGGUUGUAAAGCUCUUUUACCCGAGAUGAUAAUGACAGUAUCGGGAGAAUAAGCUCCGGCUAACUCCGUG
rnacentral:rRNA from 1 species